rnacentral:rRNA from 1 species
AGUGAACGCUGGCGGUAGGCCUAACACAUGCAAGUCGAACGGCAGCACAGUAAGAGCUUGCUCUUACGGGUGGCGAGUGGCGGACGGGUGAGGAAUUCAUCGGAAUCUACUUUUUCGUGGGGGAUAACGUAGGGAAACUUACGCUAAUACCGCAUACGACCUACGGGUGAAAGCAGGGGAUCUUCGGACCUUGCGCGAUUGAAUGAGCCGAUGUCGGAUUAGCUAGUUGGCGGGGUAAAGGCCCACCAAGGCGACGAUCCGUAGCUGGUCUGAGAGGAUGAUCAGCCACACUGGAACUGAGACACGGUCCAGACUCCUACGGGAGGCAGCAGUGGGGAAUAUUGGACAAUGGGCGCAGGCCUGAUCCAGCCAUACCGCGUGGGUGAAGAAGGCCUUCGGGUUGUAAAGCCCUUUUGUUGGGAAAGAAAAGCAGCAGGUUAAUACCCCGCUGUUCUGACGGUACCCAAAGAAUAAGCACCGGCUAACUUCGUG